AGUUGCUCGAUGCAUCUAGUCGCCUCCGCAAGUGGAGAGUAAACCAUAGAUACAUAAUCUAUAGAGAAACAAGCCAUUCCUAUUUGCCCAGCCACUCAUACGCACAAACAAAUGAUCCAAGGAAAUAUGGACGGUGAUAGGGAUCAUUGGACCACGAGCACACGACGCACAAACUAACCACAAAGCAAAUACAGUGGCAGAGAGAGCGGACUCACAAGAAGGUCCGUCCUGUCUUUAUUUCUCAUCAGUCAUCCAUCCAUUGAAAGAAGAAAGCUUUCUAUCUAGUGAGUUAAUGCAAUAUGACCAUUUGGCUAAUUGAGCAACUUGA